rnacentral:rRNA from 1 species
AUUGAACGCUGGCGGCAUGCCUUACACAUGCAAGUCGAACGGCAGCACGGGAGCAAUCCUGGUGGCGAGUGGCGAACGGGUGAGUAAUGUAUCGGAACGUGCCCAGUCGUGGGGGAUAACGUAGCGAAAGCUACGCUAAUACCGCAUACGAUCUAUGGAUGAAAGCGGGGGAUCGCAAGACCUCGCGCGAUUGGAGCGGCCGAUAUCAGAUUAGGUAGUUGGUGAGGUAAAGGCUCACCAAGCCGACGAUCUGUAGCUGGUCUGAGAGGACGACCAGCCACACUGGGACUGAGACACGGCCCAGACUCCUACGGGAGGCAGCAGUGGGGAAUUUUGGACAAUGGGCGCAAGCCUGAUCCAGCAAUGCCGCGUGCAGGAUGAAGGCCUUCGGGUUGUAAACUGCUUUUGUACGGAGCGAAAAGGCUCUCUCUAAUACAGGGGGCUCAUGACGGUACCGUAAGAAUAAGCACCGGCUAACUACGUGCCAGCAGCCGCGGUAAGAC